rnacentral:rRNA from 1 species
UUAAUUGAAGAGUUUGAUCAUGGCUCAGAUUGAACGCUGGCGGCAGGCCUAACACAUGCAAGUCGAGCGGCAGCACAGAGGAACUUGUUCCUUGGGUGGCGAGCGGCGGACGGGUGAGUAAUGCCUGGGAAAUUGCCCGGUAGAGGGGGAUAACCAUUGGAAACGAUGGCUAAUACCGCAUAACCUCGCAAGAGCAAAGCAGGGGACCUUCGGGCCUUGCGCUACCGGAUAUGCCCAGGUGGGAUUAGCUAGUUGGUGAGGUAAG